CUCUCAGACUGUAAAAGAAACAAUGAGUCAAUUCCAAUUUCAAAGAAGAUCAGAAGCAUCAUUCCAGGAGUUCUAACGUAGUGUUGGGGAAGAUGAUCGUGGCAAAACAUCGUCGGACCAUCGAAAGAAACAUUCUCGUAAUCCUCCUUAUCCACCUACUUUACCUACUCUCUCAGUCUACGCCUUCCUUUGGCGCACGCCCAAAGCCGCCUCCAAUUCCCCUUCUACCAAUCCCUUCGGCACGCCAGCUCUCAUGGCAGCUCUCGGAGAUGGCCAUGUUUCUCCACUUCGGGCCCAACACUUUCACGGGUUCGGAGUGGGGGUCGGGUCACGCCGACCCGUCGAUCUUCACCCCGGAUAGCCUUAACGCCACCCAGUGGGUCUCUGUUGCCAAAGAAAACGGGUUUACAAGAUUGGUCCUCACUGCAAAGCACCAUGAUGGCUUCUGUCUCUGGCCUUCUCUCUACACUAAUUACUCUGUCAAGUCUAGCCCUUGGAGAAAUGGGCUCGGCGAUGUAGUGGGCGACUUGGCUCAGGCUGCCAAGGCUGCUGGUCUGCAAUUGGGUGUUUAUCUUUCACCCUGGGAUAAACAUGAGCCUGUAUAUGGCAACACUGUUGGGUACAAUGAAUUCUAUUUGGGGCAGAUGACUGAGUUGCUUACAGGAUAUGGUGAGAUUAAAGAAGUGUUCCUGGAUGGUGCAAAAGGUGAGGGUGAGAAGGAUAUGGAGUAUUACUUUGAUGAUUGGUUCGACCUUAUCCAUCAGCUCCAACCUGCGGCCGCAAUCUUCACAGAUGCUGGCCCUGAUACCAGAUGGAUAGGAGAUGAAGAUGGUGUUGCUGGGACGACUUGUUGGUCCCUUAUCAAUUGUAGCGAUGUAACUAUUGGUGGCACUGAUUACGAAUAUAUAGAAAUGGGAGACCCUUCUGGUCAAGAUUGGGUGCCUGCCGAAUGUGAUGUUUCAAUACGACCUGGCUGGUUUUGGCAUGCAUCAGAAGCUCCCAAGACUGCAAUGGAUCUUCUUGACUUGUACUAUAAAUCAGUUGGCAGAAACUGCCAACUGUUGUUAAAUGUACCGCCAAAUACUUCGGGUCUUAUAUCAGAUGAGGAUAUACAAGUCCUCAGAGAGUUCACCAAGCUUCGGACUUCAAUUUUUUCCCGUAAUCUAGCAAAAUCUGCUCGUUUUUCUGCCAGCAGCACAAGAGGUACGAGUGACUUCCGAUUUGCCCCCUAUAAUGUUAUUAAAGAAGGCAUCUAUACUUAUUGGGCUCCAGGACGAGAGCAAUCAGAAUUCGUAUUAUACUUGGAUUUUCAAGAACAAGUGACAUUCAACGUGUUAGAAGUUCAAGAGCCAAUCCAUAUGGGGCAGCGGAUUAUCGCAUUCCAUCUCGAUGUAUUGAACGAAUUCGGGGAAUGGCAGGAACUAAUAGAUGGAACGACAGUGGGAUACCGGAGGUUGCUGUUAUUUCCUGUGGUUAAAACGUAUAGUAUAAGACUUGUGAUUGACGAGUGUCGGGAUGAACCUUUGAUCUCUUAUUUGGGAUUAUAUAUGGAUCCCUAUUCUAAUCUGGAACACAAGUCUAGUUCAUGGUUUGGAUCGAUGCGCUUCAAUGGCAGCCGGGUGCUGAGGGAUUGGCUUUCUGCUUUUAUGUAGACCUUGCUGGAUUACAACCCCAACGAAAUGUUAUAUUGCCUAUAAAUUUAGGUCUCUCACUUAGACCCACUGAUAAAAAUCAUGGCAGAGACAUGAACCAAGUUGUUUGCCCUCUCUUUUCUCCUCAUUCUAUUGACUACUGUUGCAGUGGGGAAGGCUAAAGCAAAAGCAGAAUGCAAUAAGGUAUUGCACAGAAGUUUGGUCUGUCAUGGGAUGCAUUUCUUGCUAUAUCCAUUUUUGUUGGUAAAUGGCUUUGUGUUGAUGGAUUGGCAUGAAGAAGUGAAUCUAAGAAACCAGAACAACUUGUUUUGGAUUAAUAGUAGCUUCAAUGCUUCAUUCAUGAUAAUGGAAAGAUCUUUUCUGUCUCAAUUUAUGUUUAAAUUUAGAGCUGUCAAAA